rnacentral:rRNA from 1 species
GACGAACGCUGGCGGUGUGCUUAACACAUGCAAGUCGAACGGUAAGGCCCUUUCGGGGGUACACGAGUGGCGAACGGGUGAGUAACACGUGAGUAACCUGCCCUCAUCUCUGGGAUAACAGUCGGAAACGGUUGCUAAUACUGGAUAUGAGCUUGCAAGGCAUCUUGUGGGUUGGAAAGAUUUUUUUGGUUGGUGAUGGACUCGCGGCCUAUCAGCUUGUUGGUGAGGUAGUGGCUCACCAAGGCUUCGACGGGUAGCCGGCCUGAGAGGGCGACCGGCCACAUUGGGACUGAGAUACGGCCCAAACUCCUACGGGAGGCAGCAGUGGGGAAUAUUGCACAAUGGACGGAAGUCUGAUGCAGCAACGCCGCGUGCGGGAUGACGGCCUUCGGGUUGUAAACCGCUUUCAAUUGUGACGAAGCUUUUUGUGACGGUAGCAGGAGAAGAAGCACCGGCUAACUACGUG